CAUAGAAUCAUUAGCUAAAAACUAAGACAGCAACCACAAGUAAAGCCAUUAAAUAUGUAAAUAUUGUUUCAUAUUUUAAAGCUUUUCUCUUCAUUUCUGAGAGACCAAACACAAGUAAAAGCUUCAUAUCCAAACCCUAAGCUGCUUCAAACAGAUGAAGUAGAAGCUUGAGAGAUUGAAGCAGAGACAUACCUGGAUCUGAGUAGGAGCUCACAGAGAGAGAGAGAGAGACAGAGAGAGAGAGAGACUGAGUGUGUGUGUGAAGGGUUUGGAGUGUGGC
rnacentral:lncRNA from 1 species